rnacentral:miRNA from 1 species
UGACAAAUCUCCUGGGGGAUAUUGUUAGAAUGCAGAUUCUGAUCCAGUAGGUCUGGGGUGGAGCCUGAGACUCUGCAUUUCCAACAAGCUCCCAGGAGAUGCUGGU